rnacentral:tRNA from 1 species
GGCUCCAUAGCUCAGUGAUUAGAGCACUGGCCUUGUAAACCAGGGUCACAAGUUCAGUCCUUGCCUGAGCCU